UGACUAUAUAACAAUAUUAUAAAGUUUAACAUAAUGACUGAAUUUUGUAACGGAAUGAUACAAUAUUUGAUAGCAAAUUGUUAAAAUUUGAUAUAAUAUAGUUUAAUUGUAAUAAUAUUCACACAAAUAGUUAUAUAUACUAUAUUCAUAAAAAAAAUACAAAAAUGGUGGAUUUACACGGGAAGGAUAAAGGAAAUAUUUCAUUACCAGCAAAAUUACAAUCAUACGAAAAUGAUGAUGAAAAAAAACCAACGAUUAUUAAUAUGCAAAAAACUUUUUAUACUAUUAAAAUCGCAGACAUUGAAUCUAGAAUAAAUAGUUAAUAUUUAGGUUAGAUGAAAGAAAUGAAGAAUUACUAGAGGAAAUCGAAACUACAAAUGAACUUUCAGCUACAAUAGAUACAGAAACAAUUGAAGAAAUUACAAGUUUAAACAAACAAUUUUUAACACAAAAUAGUUUGGUAGAAAGUUUAAAAAAUAAAAUCAAUACUAUAGAAAAUGAUCGAAUAGAAAAUCAACGAUUACAUGAAGAGAAAAAAGAAUUAUUUAAUCAAAAUUAUAAAAAAACGAAAUUUGAAUUAAUUUCUCAAGCCAAAGUUCUAAAUGCGGAAAUCAAUGUUUUGCAAGAUUUUAAAAGAGUACAAAAUAUAUUACAAGAAAAACUUGAAGAGAAUGAGGAACAAAUGGUAAAAAAUGAAAAGAAAGUAAAAGAAACUAUAGAAAUUGUUAAUCGAAAAAUUGAAUUUGAUAAAGAAAUGUAUAAAAAUUUUAUUCAAUUUAUAUAUUAUCAAAAAUUGAUUUUAUUUAUUUUAUCAUGAAUUAAGAAAAUAAAAGAAAAAAAGCUUAAAAAUGAAAUGUACGAUUGUCUUCUUGAUUUGGCAGCACAAUUUCAAAUGCAAGUUAAUAAACAUAUAAAUUUACCAAAUCAAAGAUUGAUGAGAGAAAAUAUUAUGUUGAAACAUGAAUUACUACAAAUUUCUGAGAAUAUUUCAUCAAAAAUGGAUACUGAACUUUAUUUAAAGUAAUAGUUAAAUUUUAUCAUUUUACAAUGAAUAUGUAAUUUAAAAUAUUUUCUUUUUUUAUAUAUUUGCUAUAUUUGAAAUAUUUUUUAUUAAUAAUCAAUUUAUAGAAGCAAUUUAUUAAAUGAUAUUAAACAUAUUUAUUAUUUAGCAAAUUUUUUAUUUAUUAAUUAGUAAUAAUAGCUUAUUAAUUAGUAAUUAGUAAUAAUAAUUUUAUUAAUUAAUAAUAAUAUAAUAUUAUAUAAUAUUAACAGUAUAUUUUUUUCGUUUAUUCAUAAAAAUUAUUUGUUUUUUUUGUUUAAUCAAAAAAAAUUAGCAAAUGAUUAUAUUUCCCAUUUUAUAUCUAUAACUAUAUAUUAUUUUUUUGUAUUACAUUAUAUUAUAUUUUAUAUUACAUUAUAUUAUAUUUCUUAGAUUUUAUUAUAUUUCUUAUUAAAAAUCAAAUUCUAUCUACAUAGAUAGAAUUUCAAUAUAAUUUAAUAUAUAAAUUUCUUAUAAUUCAAUUAAUUUAUAGAUGUUUAUAUCUCUUUCUUCUUGUUUAUGCUUUUAUUGUGUAGAAACUCACAAAUUAAUUAUAAAGAAAAAUUGGAUACACAAUCUAUGUUUAUAAAAGAUAAUAUAAAAAUUUCAAAAAUACAAGAUAUAAUAUUAGAAUAUAUAAAAAAAAAAUUAGAAAAUGCAAAAAAAAACUUAUCACAUAUUUCUAUUCCUGAGGAUGCAAAACAAAGAGAAUACAUGAUAUUGAUAGAAAAAACUAUUUAUGAGCAAUGCAAUAUUCAUUUUCGUCUCGCAACAUUAAAAACAAUACUUCAUAAAAUAAGAUUGAAAAUUAAUCUUGCAAAACAUUUUUUGAAAUUAAUAGAAUCCAAAAUAAGAGCAGUUUUUGAAACUAUUUAUGAUUUAAAGUAUAAUGCAACAUGUUUACUAAAAGUAGUAUAUUUUUUAAUAAUUUAAUUCUUAUUUAAUUUUUAAAAUUUUAUUUUAAAAAUUUUAAAAAUUUUAAAUAUCUAAAUAAUAUUAAGAAUUUACAUAUUUAUUUUAAUUAUAUCAAAUAUUAAUUUCAUACAUUAAUUAAUUUAAAUUGUAUAUUUUAGUAUCCUUAUAGUCGUUGGGAUUUAAUAACAAUGAGUUGUAUUGAAGUGUUUCUGUUUUUGAGGGAUAUACUUAUUAAAGGACAAAUCAAAUUUGAAAAUUAUGUUGUUGAGUCGUAAGUAAUAGUAAAGUAGUAAUGAAAUUUUCGUAAAUAUUCAUUAAACAAAAUAAUUAUUAACUAUUAAUUUAUUAUUAAUUAAAUGAUUAUUUAGCGAUUGUACUUUGUUUCUUUUUAAUAUAUUUAUUAAUAUAUUUAUAUUUUUAAAUUUUUUAUUAUAUAUAUGUUAAUUAAGUAAAAUUAUUUUUAAAAAUAGUUUAUUUUUAUUUCUCUAAUCUAAAUUAUCAAAAAUUGAUAAAUUGAUUUUUCAAUCAUAAAUUUUAUAGCAUUAGGAUAUAUAAAAACCAAAAUAUAUAAUAAUAUAAAGCAUUUAAGAAUAUAUUUUUAUAAAAAAUUAUUUUAUAUUUUUAAUCUUUUUUAAAAUAAUUGAAAAAUUAUUUUGUAUAUGUAAAUAUAUCUAAAUAUAUAUAUAUGUAUAAAAUUAUUUUUUAUAUGUAUCUAUAUAAUAUAUAUAUUUAUAUAAAGUUAUUAAAAUAUUAAAGUUAUUUAUUAAAUUAACAUAUAAAUAAAUUAAGGACGGAAUCUAUACCUGACAAAUUAGAAUCUACUUCAAAUAUAAAAGAAAAUUCAAAUAUAGAAGAUAUUAAUUUAAUAAUGUUUAUAACAAAAGAAUCCUUAAGUAAAGAAAUUUUAAAUAAAGUAAAUAAAUAUUUUUAUUAAAUUAAUAUAAUUAAAUAUAAUUUUUUAAAUUUUAUAUUUUAUAUACUAAUGAUUUAUAAUUAUUAGACAAAAAAAAUUGAAAAUUUGGAUGAGAAGAAAGAAACAUUGAUUGAAAAUAGCGAAAUUAAUGAAACUAUUUCCGAACAAUUUGUUGAAACUAUUUCCGAAGAUAAUAUUGAUUUUAAUUUAGAAAAUAAUUACGAAUUAUCUAAAGAUGACGAAGAUGAAUCGAUAUUUGAUAUUGCUGGAGAAUAAAAUCUGAUAUUACAAAUAUUUUUUAUUGUUAAAUGUUUUAUCAAAUAAUUUUUUAAAAAUAUUAUAUAUAAAAUUAUUAAUAAAUUAAUAAAUUAAAUUAUUAAUAAUUAAUAAAUUUAAAAAAUAUACUUAUAUUUAUAAAUUAAGUAAUAUAAAAUUUUUCACAUAUUUUAGCCAUUAUAUUUUUAAGAAGUAUAUAAAUAUUUUUAUUUUUUAACAAAAUUAUAAUUUUUUAUUUUUCAUGUAAAUUAAAAAUAAUUCAUUUGUUAUUGAUAUAUUGUUACUAUAAUAAUAGUCAUUAUAUUCAAUAUUUGUUUAUAAUUUCAUAACAAAACAUUUAUAAAAAAAACUUUAUAUAAUAUUUUCUUUUUAUUUUCAUUUAUAGAUUGUAUUCAUUUAAUUUAAUAUGAGAAAUAAAAAACUUUGUUAUAUAUAUAAAUAAAUAUAUAUAUAUUAUAUAUAUUAUAUGUAAAUAUAAUAAGUUAUAUAAAAAGUAUCUUAUUAAUAUUUUAUUAAUAUUAAUAAAAUAAUUAAUAUUAUAUUAAAAAUUAUAUAAAAAUGCUAUUUAUUUAUUAUAUAUAUUAAUCUAAAAUUAUAUAUUACUGUAAUUAUUAAUUAUUUUUUAUUUAUUUAUAUAAUUUAUGUAUAAUGAUACAAAAUAUACAAUGAUACAAAAUGUCUCAUUUAAAUAACUUGAAUAUUUGUUUAAAUAUAUACAUAUUUUCUAAUAAUAAAAAAAAAAGUUUGCUUAAGAAAUAUCUGAUUAAGAUUAUAAAUUAAGAUUAAUAUAAAUUUUAAUUAAUAUUUAUAAUUUUUAUUUAAUUAUGAAAAAAUAUUUUUCACCAUAUUAAUAUAAAUUUAUAUAUUUGCAUUAAUAUAUAUAUAUAUCAAUAACACAAAUUGUAUAUUCAAUAAAAAAAGUAAUAAAAAGUAUA